rnacentral:lncRNA from 1 species
UUAAGAAAGUUUUUGGGGUUAAAUUAUAAUUAUUAUAAAAAUUAGGAGUUAAAAGCAAAGAAAAAUAAAGUUCAGGGAUCAAAAUACAAUUAAAUUAAGGACCUAAUUGAAGGAAAUUCAAAAUUUGUAGGGCUACAAUGAAAUUUCUCAAAGGACUAAGGACUUAAUUGCAAAAUUGUCUUUUGGUUUCUUUAGACAAAAGGCCAUCGGGCCAUUUUUAUGUGAUUUCUUGGGCUGAAAUCCUCUUUGGCCCAAAGCA